rnacentral:misc_RNA from 1 species
GUGGUUGCGGAAGCUUACCUCUCUCUCUUUCGUCGUGUUGGAGGAGUUCGUCGUCGCGUUCAAGUUCUGGAAGAAGUUCAGUCUUCUAAGCUUGGUGGACACGACGUUUUCGCUGGAAGUUCCAGCUGGAUUGAGAUCGUCGCGAAGUUAUGGGUGCAGUGGUUGGUGACCCCUAGGCGAGUUGGAUUAGUGGUUUCAAGAGUGCAGUGUUUGAGGUUUAAUUUGCGCAAAGAUUUACGACUUUACGACGUACUUUGCUGAAGAAGGUGUUCACGUGCUCAUCGGUGAAACCAACUGUCUGCGGUGGAUUUAGUGCAGAUUUACGGCAGCACUACAACGGGUGUACCAAAGCAGACGGGAAGAAGAUCGUUCUACGUGAUCUGUACAGAAGUGGUGUUGCUCAAGUUGGUGUGACUAAUUUUGCGGUGAUAAAUGAUAUGUGAGGUCUUCGGAGCCCUUUUUUUGUGAGUGCGCUUUUUCGAGUGAAGAUGUGAAGCUCUAAUUACGGGGUUUGGGUUGUGCCUGAAUAUUUUAGUGCUUGAUUAAAGGAGCGAAUCGUUGAUUAGAAGAAAAGAGCAAGCAAGUGAAAUUUUCGGGUAGUUUUGUGUGUCACGACAGUCCGGAACGAUGGAUCCGGACGAUCUGAUCACGUUGCGGGUCCAGUACCUGGUCGACAGUGAUCCGUUCAACAGCUUCGCCAUGUAUCCGAUUCCGUCACGCGCGCCGGCCUUCUCCUUUGCCAGUUCCGCCCCGCUGGCCACCCAGCUGGGGGUGCUCCUGCGCCACCUGGGGGCACCGCAACGGCUGGACGAUGCCGCCCUGCAAGUGUACAAAGACGGCGACUAUGGCGCUUAUCUGGACCUGGAGUCGUCGCUGGCGGAGCAGUCCGAGGACAUUGAGGGACUCAAUGCGAAUCGCAAAAAUUCCCUCGUCGUUCGAACCCAGCUCAGUGUCAGGGUGCACUGUAUUAUUGAAAAACUCCUCUCCUGCGAUGGCCGUGAGCUGCGGAGGGCGCUCUUCUCGCUGAAGCAGAUCUUCCAGGAGGACAAAGACCUGGUGCAUGGCUUCGUGGCGCUCGGCGGGCUAAACUGCCUGGUGCAGAUCGGAAACGAGGCCGACCAGAACUACCAGAACUACAUCCUGCGGGCCCUGGGCCAGGUCAUGCUGUACGUGGAUGGGAUGAACGGGGUCAUGAAGCAUUCGCCCACGAUCCAGUGGCUGUACUCGUUGAUUGCGUCCAAGUACCGGCUAGUGGUCAAGACGGCCCUCAAGCUGCUGCUGGUGUUUGUCGAGUACUGCGAGGGCAACUGCUACCUCAUGGUCAGCGGCAUUCGGUUCGUCGAUACGGCCCGCGGGGUGGUGCCCUGGAAUAACAUUAUGAAACUCCUCAAAGACUACGAAAACGCCGACACCGAGCUGCUCAUCUACGCGACCUCGCUGAUCAACAAGACCCUUUCGGGCCUCAGCGACCAGGACAGCUUCUACGACGAGAGCGACUUCCUGGAGCAGCAGGGCAUGGAGGGCAUCAUCCAGCGGUACAUGUCCCGGCCGGGCACCGACCUGGACCUGCUGGACCAGCUGCAGCUGUACGAAACGGUGCUGAGGUUCGAGGACGGCGAAACGGACGGGAUUCGAAUUCCGGACAAUACGGUGCGCAAGACGCUGCGGUACAGGUCGAACGAAAACGACCGGCGGAAGUCACGCCGACACAGUACGGGAACGGCUCCGUCGGCUCAACCUCCACCGGUUCCACCGCCACCUCCGCCGUCACUGUUGAUGUCCAUGCCGCCGAGUAUUCCGCCGCCGCCUCCACCUCCACUGCCUCCUCCGGUGGCCCCGGUCAUGGUGUACGGCUCGUUACGGCAAGCCGUGCAGCAGCAAGCGCACGACGAGGACAGCUCGAGUUCGGCGAACUCGGCGGAUCACAAUCUUGGUGGGGGUGGUGGCUAUCGGGACACUUCGCGUGAUACUACCGGGGUAACGCCCGGUCUUCGGAGGAGACGCGAGCGGGCCGAACGGCAGAAGAGUUUCAUGAGGGAACAGCAGGAACUGACCCAGUUCAAGGCGCAGGAGGAGACCAACGGUCACGGUUACAUCCUAACCCACACUCCAGCGCCAAUCCAGCAACCCCAACCUCCAGUUCGACUGCGGAGCAACGGUACGGCCCGACUCUGCAACGCAACCAUCAACGAGUACGAACCGACGACGACGACGACUUCGCCGCGCAUUCCAAGCCUAACUCAGUCUGUGAUCUAUACUAAGCAUAACACUAAUAACCAUAACCUCGGAGAUCUUGGAGGUCGAACCUCGGAUCACCACGCGGUCGAGUACAGGAACAGCAAGAACCUGCUGCUGAACGGUAAGCACAACGGAACCAACGGGCACUACAACGCCAACGGCAAUGGGUACGGCAAGACGCUGGAUCUGAACGGGAACAUGCCGAACGGGAGGAGCAUGACCAGCAGUCCGGAGGAGUUGGACGAGAACGAGAGUCCCAAUAUUAAGAUGAAUGGGAGCUAUGGGGAGAUCAACGGGUACGGGAGUACCAAUGGGUAUUUGAAUGGGUAUGGGGGUAAGCAGCAGAAUCUGCAGAAUGGGAAGGACCAUGAACAUCGGCAGCGUAAUGGUGGGAGUGGUGGAGUCAACGGGUAUGUCAACGGUAAUGUAAUGUCCAAUGGAAGUCACGUGGAGCAGAAUGGGAAGCAGGACUCGACGCAAGUGGACUCCGACAACGAGGAAAAGAAGCUGAUUCUGCAGCUCAAAAAAGACCACACCGUGAAGGACCUGACGCAGAAGCUGAGCAGCCUGCCGCUGAGCCCCCAGGAGGACAAAUCGGCCCAGGCGAACCGCCAAAUCGGCGACAUGUCCGGCCUCAUCUCCAAAGCCAAAGAGGGCCUGGCCAAGAGCAAAAGCAACAAGGACAUUUCCCGCUCGCCCUCCGUCGACAGCGACAUCAAGAAGCUGGCCACGGCCACGGCUGCGGAGCAGCAGAAAAAGUCCGAAAACGAACUCCACUGGGAGGAAAUUAUCAAAAACAUGACCCGCAAGCUGAAUCUGUGCGACCUGGACUUUACCGAUCUCACCUCGGACGACGAUAAGGACGUGCUGGCGCCGCGGGGCUUCGGCGGGGCCGUUCCUCCACCACCGCCACCAGCCGGCGGAAUGAUGAUGCCGCCGCCCCCGAACAUGAUGAUGGGCGCCGGUGGACGGGUCAACCCGAUGGCGCCCCCGAUGAUAUUCGCCAACGGUGGCGGUGGCCUGCUGAUGAACCCGGCCGCCAUGACCAACGGAAUUGCCGGCAGCGUGGGUGACCUGAGCGGGAUGAACACAAUCAAGAAGAAUAAAAAGACUGUAAAACUUUUCUGGAAGGAAGUACGCGAGGACAUGAUCCCGGCGACGAUACACCGCACCAUUUGGGACGAGCUGCCGGAGGCCAACGUGGACACCCAGAAGUUGGAGCAUUUGUUCGAAUCCAGAGCCAAAGAUCUGAUGACAAAGAAGCAACAAGAGCUAAACAAGAACAAAGAGGUCAUCGUGCUGGACCACAAGCGCUCGAACGCAAUCAACAUCGCGAUGACGAAGCUGCCCCCGCCGCGAGCCAUCAAGGCCGCCAUCCUUAAAAUGGACUCCACGGUGGUGACCCGCGAGGGCAUCGAGAAGCUGCUGAACAUGCUCCCCACCGACGAGGAACGCUGCAAGAUCCAGGAGGCGCAGAUGCUCAACCCGGAACUCCCACUGGGAACGGCCGAACAGUUCCUGCUAACCCUGUCCUCGAUCUCCGAGCUCGGCGCGCGCCUCAAGCUGUGGGCCUUCAAGCUGGACUUUGAGAACAUCGAGAAGGAAAUCGCCGAACCGUUGAUGGACCUCAAGCAGGGCAUCGAACUCCUAAAGGCGAACCUCACCUUCAAGUGCAUCCUCUCCACCCUGCUCAAGAUCGGCAUCUUCCUGAACGGUGCCCCCGUCAAGGGCUUCCAGAUCGACUACCUGGCCAAAGUACCUGAGGUGAAGGACACCGUCCACAAGCACUCGCUGCUGCACCAUCUGUGCCACAUGGUCAUGGAAACCCAGGCGAACACCACCGAUCUGUACUCGGAGAUUGGACCGAUUACGCGCGCUUCGAAGGCGGACUUUGGCGAGUUGGCGCACAACAUCACCUACCUGGAGACGGAGUGCAAGGCGUCGUGGGAUCGGCUGAAGCUGAUCAGCAAGCACGACACGGCGCCGCAUCUGAAGCAGAAGCUGAUCGACUUUCUGGCGGACUGCGCCGAGCGGAUCAUCAUCUUGAGCAUCGUGCAUAGGAGGGUGCUGAACAGGUAUCGCAAGUUCCUGAUGUGGCUGGGCGUCCCGCAGCACCGGAUCGCCGAAUCCCGGCCGAACGAGUUCUGCCGGAUCGUGUCGGAGUUCGCGCUCGAAUACCGCACGACCCGCGAGCGCGUCCAGCAGCAGAUCGAAAAGAAGGCCAACCACCGAGAGAGAAACAAGACUAGGGGCAAGCUCAUCGUCGAGGUGGGCAAGUUCAAGGGUACGACGACCGGUGCUUCCGGCGGUGCCACCACCCAGGAGGAUCUGGCCGAUGUGGAGCUCAAGACCCUCCUCGGCACGCCCACCAAGGGUCCCGGCGGGGACGAGGUCGAGAUGAGCGGAACGUUGACGUGGCGACGCCGGCGGGGUGACGCCACGGCUUCGCCGGUCGUGCCCGGUUCCGGUCGUAAUAGUGCCCUGAACGCCAGCUUUGGAGGCCACCACCACAACCGGGACGAAAGCUUCACCGACGGGGACGACGAGAUACUGGAGUCGCUCGUCAAGACGGCAACCAAAGCGGCCACGCCGAGACCCACGCAGCGGGAACGGAAACGGACCCGACAGGCGGAUCGAAAGUCAUUUAAGAGGUCACGAACGCGCGAAGGGUUUGAGGUGGAGCGAAGUGGCAACUCGCCAGUCUAGUUUAGGGUGAAGCGGAGGUGUGACAUCGAGCGGGUCGGAAGUGUGUGUUGUAGAUAGUUAAGACGAGGUGGUUGUGGUGCUUCCGAUUUGAGAGCUUGACACACCCGGAAUCUUCUAGGAAAAUUAUUUAAGACCAUUAAGAUGACAUAGCUGUAAGACGAACGCUGAAGAACGGACUAUCGGAGGAGGAAAAGCAACACGUGGCCUCGCUGAUAAAGGGAUACUAACGGGGCAGCAGCAGUUUCAACUCUCAACGAUAAAUUUAAGGGGUUCCGGAGUGCAGCAAACAGUGACGAUGACCGAGCUUCAGCGGAAAUUUCAAAUAACAACAACAACUCGGAGAAAAUGUGAUAGCAAAAUUGCGAAGCGAAUAAACUAAAAACAAAAAACAAAACAAAAAGAAACAAACUAGAGCGGAAAUUAGCAAGAGGAAAGAGUGUCGCCUGCGACUGGCAGUUCGGGGCAAGAAAAAGUUUCGGACAGGUUCGUUCAAAGUCGUGACACGGUAAUAUUUUGCUUUCUAUAUGUUGUGGAGAGACUAGUCUUUAUCGGAACGGAUAUGCAAACUAGGAAAGUUGCGAAAGUGGGAGCGAGCGAGAGAAAAAAAAGGAGCUCCGUCGUACUUUUUUUGACAUUUAUUUCAGACUGUUGGGUCGAACUCGAACUUCUAAAUGCAAAUAUCUAUAAUACUAAAAUAUACAAUAUGUGUACUAAAAAAAUAUAACAUUACAAGAAGCGAGCGAGAGCCUAGGUAGGAUUCCUAUAAUGAAUAAAAAAUAAAAGAAAUCUUUCAGUGACUUAAUAAAAUGAUUUUUAAAAAGUGGUAACGAAAGCAUUGUGAAAUAGAUUUUCCAAAAACUAUGGUAAGGCAAAGUACUGUAAACCUAACGAAAACUAGCCCCUUUCAGAAGGGAGUUGCAACAUUUCAACACUGUAAAAUAAUGACUCAUAUACGAUAUACAAUAUAAAUUAUUGAAUUAUAUCAAAGAAAACUAAAUGAAUAAAAUAGACAUAUUUUAAACAAGAAA